UUCCAUGAGGCCGGACCAAGUCUGACGGUCUCUGCCACCCAGUAGCGGGCAUCAGGCACCGCCACAUGGACUCACAUUAACUCCGAUCCCGAGUCGUAGCGUGCUAUGCUUCAGAACCGGGACUUACAAACUUGUUAACAUAACCUGUGACAAUACAUGCUCUGUGGAUGGGAGCUGGUGAAAGACACCCCUCUCUGCAGGAAGGAAUUCUGUUAACAUGGGGAGAAGAUUAAAAUCAGAAAUGGAUACUGAGCAUCGUGAAAUAAAUCCCAGGAGCUGUUCCCUACACCAGCAUUGGCCCCUCCCCAACCCUUCAUUGUUGAAGCAAUUUUGCAUUUCUAUU